AGAGUUUGAUCCUGGCUCAGAGCGAACGUUAGCGGCAGGCCUAACACAUGCAAGUCGCACGAGAAUUGGUCUUCGGACCAUAGUAAAGUGGCGGACGGGUGCGUAACACGUGGAUAAUCUGCCCUUCGGCGGGGGACAACAGUCCGAAAGGAUUGCUAAUACCGCAUACGUCAACCAGGUCUUCGGACCAGGUUGGGAAAGAUGGCCUCUUCAUGAAAGCUAUCACCGGAGGAUGAGUCCGCGGCCCAUCAGCUAGUUGGCGGGGUAAUGGCCCACCAAGGCUAAGACGGGUAGCUGGUCUGAGAGGAUGAUCAGCCACACUGGAACUGAGACACGGUCCAGACUCCUACGGGAGGCAGCAGUGGGGAAUAUUGGGCAAUGGGCGAAAGCCUGACCCAGCCAUGCCGCGUGAGUGAUGAAGGCCUUCGGGUCGUAAAGCUCUGUGGGGAGGGAAGAAAAAGCCUAUGGCUAACAUCCAUGGGCCCUGACGGUACCUCCUUAGCAAGCACCGGCUAACUCCGUGCCAGCAGCCGCGGUAAUACGGAGGGUGCAAACGUUGCUCGGAAUCAUUGGGCGUAAAGCGCACGUAGGCGGUUCGUUAAGUCGGAUGUGAAAGCCCUCAGCUCAACUGAGGAAGUGCAUUCGAAACUGGCGAACUUGAAUAUGGAAGAGGGUCGCGGAAUUCCCGGUGUAGAGGUGAAAUUCGUAGAUUUCGGGGAGG
rnacentral:rRNA from 1 species